ACCAGAAUGACUCUGACUCUACG
rnacentral:piRNA from 1 species